GACGAGCGCUGGCGGCGUGCCUAAUACAUGCAAGUCGAGCGGACGGAUGGGAGCUUGCUCCCAGACCGUCAGCGGCGGACGGGUGAGUAACACGUGGGCAACCUGCCUGUAAGUCUGGGAUAACUCCGGGAAACCGGGGCUAAUACCGGAGAACUCUUUCCCUCACGUGAGGGAAAGCUGAAAGAUGGCAUCUCGCUAUCACUUACAGAUGGGCCCGCGGCGCAUUAGCUAGUUGGUGAGGUAACGGCUCACCAAGGCGACGAUGCGGAGCCGACCUGGGGGAGGGAUCGGCGACACUGGAGCGGGGACACGGCCCAGACUACUACGGGAGGCAGCAGUAGGGAAUCUGACGCAAUGGACGAAAGUCUGACGGAGCAACGCCGAGUGAGUGAUGAAGGUGUUCGGAGCGUAAAGCUCUGUUGUGAGGGAAGAACAAGUACCGGAGUAACUGACGGUACCUUGACGGUACCUGAACAGAAAGCCACGGCUAACUACGUG
rnacentral:rRNA from 1 species